CCAAAUAGCCUAGCCUAUUUCCCCUUCACAUAUAAACCAAAACCCUAAAUCACUUUUCCGUUUCUCACUCUUUUUCACUUGCGGCAACCCUAAUACCUUUUUCCUCUUUACCCUUUCUCACUUCCCUUGUGACCACCGACCACCGCUUAGGCGCUCAUCCCCUAAUCACCGACCACCUCUCCUCCGCUCCACCCUCACCGGCCAACGUCUUUCCUCUAGAACAAUGUCAACAAAAUGUUGGUGAAAUUAAUCCGGAGAUGAUAGAUAUCGAUUGAUGAUGCCUUGCUGCUGAAGUGUUGAAUUGUUGGGUUUUUUUCAAUGCUGAAGUGUGUUGCUUUUAUUGUAUUUUAGAACUUUAAUUUUUUAUGGAUGUAAAUCUGUAAUUUAGGCUUUUAUUGGGCCAACAUUUGUGGUGAAGACUUUUAUUAUGGACUUCACAAAUUUGGGACUUAAGAUGUUUAGUCUUUUAUUUUAAAUUGUAACUUUUGUUCUGAAAAUAAGGCCCAAAAUUUAGGCCCAAAACGAUAUGUCUAAAAAUCAGGCCCAGUAAAAUUUUGGGUUGGUUUGGAUUAAAUAUCCAAAACUGAAUUAAAUCGGUUUGGACUGGAUUGGAUUGAAUAUGAA